rnacentral:rRNA from 1 species
UACGGAGGAUGCAAGCGUUAUCCGGAAUGAUUGGGCGUAAAGCGUCCGCAGGUGGUGUUGUAAGUCUGUUGUUAAAGCGUGCGGCAUAACCGCAUAAGGGCGAUGGAAAUUACAAGACUAGAGUGCGUUAGGGGUAGAGGGAAUUCCUUGUGUAGCGGUGAAAUGCGUAGAGAUCAGGAAUAACACUAGUGGCGAAAGCGCUCUACUAUGCCGCAACUGACACUGAGGGACGAAAGCUAUGGGAGCGAAUGGG